GUACUCACUUUGGCAGCACGUGUACUACAAAUUGGACCGAUGCAGAGAUUAGCUUGGCCCCUGCACAAGGAUGACACACAAUUCGUGAAGCGGUUCCAUAUUUU